rnacentral:rRNA from 1 species
GUCUUAAAAAUAUCACCCAGAAGACACUGAGUCUCUUCAGAUCUCGGAAGCUAAUCCGGUUGGAGCCUGGAUAGUGUUAGGAUGGGCAAGCACCAUGCAAGCCCGGUUGUCGUAGGCG